rnacentral:rRNA from 1 species
ACGCUCGACACCUACGGGAUGCAGCAGUCGGGAAUAUUGCGCAAUGGAGGAAACUCUGACGCAGUGACGCCGCGUAUAGGAAGAAGGUUUUCGGAUUGUAAACUAUUGUCGUUAGGGAAGAUACAAGACAGUACCUAAGGAGGAAGCACCGGCUAACUAUGCGCCAGCAGCCGCGGUAAUCUGAGCGGCUGGCAAGGC